rnacentral:rRNA from 1 species
GACGAACGCUGGCGGCGUGCCUAAUACAUGCAAGUAGAACGCUGAAGGAGGAGCUUGCUUCUCUGGAUGAGUGGCGAACGGGUGAGUAACGCGUAGGUAACCUGCCUGUUAGCGGGGGAUAACUAUUGGAAACGAUAGCUAAUACCGCAUAAUAGUAGAUGUUGCAUGACAUUUGCUUAAAAGGUGCAAUUGCAUCACUACCAGAUGGACCUGCGUUGUUUUAGCUAGUUGGUGGGGUAACGGCUCACUAAGGCAACGACCCAUAGUCGACGGGGAGGGGGAUCGGCCAACCUGGGAAGGAGACACGGCCCAAACUCCCACGGGAGGGCGCCGUAAGGGAUCUUCGGGCAUGGGGGGAAGUCUGGACGGGCAACGCCGGGGGAGGGAAGAAGGUUCUCGGGUUGUAAAGCUCUGUUGUAAGGGAAGAAAGAGUGUGAGAGUGGAAAGUUCACAUCGUGACGGUACCUAACCAGAAAGCGACGGCUAACUACGUG